AGAACGGUGAAGAUCCCGGCGAUGGAAAAAAGGCGAAACUGCUCCGCGUAGGCUGCUCGGAGUGGCAUCGCACCUUGUUCGAGUCCGAAGAAGUUCCCGCUUCUCUAAGCCGGCUGAAGGGAUGCGAGUCUCCUCUUGUCCCAACGGGACUGUGUCCUGACACAGAGUGGACUCCGCCCCAAGAGUGCGAGCGUCCUGAGCGUUCAGGGCAUCCUGAGCCGCGGAAGGCAUCCGGCCACACCCCGCUCUUUACCCGCCAACGCCAGCCCAGGUGGCCAGGCUCAGAAUGGACUGUGAGCCUGUGUGUUAUGCAUCUCUGGUUGUAGAGACAAAAGGACAAAGAUGGAACCCACCAAGGAUGCUCCCGGCUGAAUGAAUUGUUGUUCUCUGGCUUACACAAAGUCAAGCGAAUGAUCGUCCCAUGUUAUGUAAUAUAGCAACGGCCUGCUUACCUUACUCCUUUAAUCUACGUUAUUCUGGAAAGUAACACUUGAAAUAAAAAGUAGAUACAUUCUACUGGGAAUGUGACCCUCAGAGAAGGAAAGAAAGACCGAGGGGUUGAACCUGAACACGUGAAAGAGAAUCCAAGGGAACCUGCUUGGUACUGCCACAUCAGAGAAGCCUCGGGUAAGGAGACUGGAUGCUUGGAAUCAUGGAUACUCAGAGCACUGUUAACAAAGAGCAGAGUCCAGUCUUCCAGAGUCAUGACCUGAAUCCAAAGUUGAAAAGAUCUGAGCAGUGUAUAAACAGCCUGUCAUAACCUGCAUAAUACAUUUUUAGUCCUGAAUAAAUCUAUUCACACUUCUUUCU
ensembl:lincRNA Dubr Dppa2 upstream binding RNA